GGACAGGGGAGAUCAGGGGGAUAAAGGGGGUUGGGGUGGGCGGUUAGGGUUUCCACCCAGCCGAUCCCCACGCCCAACGGCGCCCCGAUGGCCCCGAUCUCCUCUGCCUUCGGCUGCCGCCGCCGCCACCCACCACCGUUGCUCCGCGGCGCCGAGAGAGAGGAGGGGAGGCCGGGGGCCUCCGAGUUCCAUCCACCGGUGCCAGAUCCAACGCGGGGCGCUGCCAUGGCCAGAGGCGGAGGAGGUGCCGCGCCCGAGGGGGCAUUGGCCGGAGGCGGAGGAGGUGCCGGUGGCUACGAUCACGGGCCCCACCCGUGCGGGUCAAACGGCGACGAGGCCACCAUGGUCAUGGGGUCAAGCGGCGACGAGGCCGCCGAGGUCCUGCGGUCCAGUGGCGACGAGGGUUCCAGGGGCGUCGAAUCUAGCGGUGUCGGCCAAGGUGAGUUCGCCGGCGGCGAAGUGCUUCGUCGCGUAGGAACUCGAAGAGAUCGGGCAGAUCGUAGAUCGCCAUCUUCUUACCUUCUUCUCUGUUGUUUUCUCUUCCUGUUGUUGCUCUAUUCUUGCUCUGUAAUGGCAAAGAAUAUCGUGCUGAUAACGUGUUGUGAAAUGAAUGAAUGAAUGAGAAUGAAUCUGUGUGUUCUCCAUUGAUUGUGUUCAUAUAUAUACAAGGGAAAGAGACACCAAUAUCCAAAUAUUUGGCAUUCACGUCCCAGUUUUGGGAAUUUUAGGACGCGAGCGGUUACAUGUUAACUGCCAUAUUAACUAUUAAUUAACUAAUAAUUAAUCCUAAUUGAUCGUAUCCUAAUUUUUUUUUUGUCGAAUGUCCUCGAAGGGGCAACAUUGCUCACAAACUUUAGGCUGUAAAACAUAGUCCGCACUGCUUUCAGGCAAUGUGAUUACGUUUGCUAUCUUUUAUUCAUGAUUAAACUAGAAGAUUUUUUAUGCACCUUGUAUGUAGAAUUUCUUCAUGGUCAUACACCCCACUCAAAUCUUCAAUGUGACUCCGUCCUCCCUCCCACCCCACCUCCCUCAAACCACCCCACUCAAACUUCACCUCAGAUUAAUAUCUACCGAUUAGAUGGUGAUUUUUCUGCGCAUGAUCAUCCACUGGUGGUAUACAAAGUGCGACUUUAGGCAAUUUAAUUUUCUUUUAGUUCCCCUCCCAUUCACGUCUUGUCAAAUUGGUUUCGAUUUUGUGUCUUUGCUUUACGGGAAACAGCUAUCCUACUUGUGUACGGCACAUUUUUGUAACAUAUACAACGGAUUAGAUGAUUUAGCUACACCGGCUGCCAGAAAAACCCUUUGUUAGGUUAAAGUAAAAAUAAUACACUGAACUACGCAGAAAUACGAAGACAUGCAUUACCUUGUCAGAAGAAGGCGUGACAAGGUAAAAAAGACACAAAAAAUGCAUAACGCAAAAUAAAAUAAAAAUGCAUACUCAGAAGUUUCUCAACAAGCAUUAUUUCUACUCAAAAAACAUGAUACAUGUGUAACCCGCACAUGUAUACACAUGAUUUAAGGAUUAUAAUGGAACAAAUGCACGAACAUAUAAAUAAAUAAAAAGCAUACAAAUCUUGAUACUUUAUUAUUGAACUAUCAGUAUGCACAGCUGAAGGCGUCAUAUACAUUUGCCGAGUGAUCUACAGAUUUAAGUAGGUAAAAAGAAGAAGUAAGCGUGGGUUUGCUAUGCUGGUGCUUCACAUUGAUUGUUAUCUAUCUCUAUCUGAAAAUACUAUGCAAUUUGCUCAAGAUGCGUGUAUAUUUCCUGUCGUGGCUGCUAGUCCUGUAUUGCUAUGAAUUUUCAUGAUGAAAACUGUAGGGUAGAAUUUCGUGACUUGCGGCAUGUCCACCGCCUAUACGCUGCUUGGCAGCUUGAAGAUAUCCUGAAGAAAUAAGCUCAGCUUCCGUGCCGAUCUCCCAACAUUGCCUUGCCGCCUACAUGACAGAUGCACAUCACUUUGGUUCUUUAUAUUGCUACGAGAUCUCCAGAUUUUCAGCAAUGGAUAAUUCUGAAGCUCGAGUGAGGGGGCUUACCUUGUCAGGGAGAUGAGAACGGAAUUCACCUUUUUCAGUUCUUGAAAGCAUGAAUGGCAGCGUUCGAACCUACCAAAACGUACAAAGAUGAAACAAAUCUAUUAUAUGUGUCUGUGAAGCAGGAUCAUCCUAAAUUAAUGAGAUAUAAAGUAGGAGCAGAAUACCGCUGCUCUGCCUCGAGGUCUACACCGACUGGUGGAGCAGCCGACAAAGUUGAACAUAUUGUUGGACCAAAACUUUUGACAAGCUUAAGGAUCAUCCCCAAAGCAAUGUUCAGAUGUCUGCAAGAGAUAUCAACGAACACUUGUAUAAGCCCAAAUAUGACCAUCACAUUAUCGGUCAGUUUUUAUACUGCUGAGUGCUGACUUUGUAUGAACUAUGAACAUAUUACUUAUUGAAAUAACAGUGGAGGGCAGUAGAAGCUGCAGUACGGCACAAGGCAAUGGCUUUGAGUAAAUUAUCCAAUGUACAGUAGGAAGGUCAAAAUUAAUUAUGAUGGCUGAAUGCAUAAAUAAGAGGAAAUACCUUUCAUAUAUGCUUUCAAGAAGAUUGGAGGCAAGAGGUAAAACGGAAGUGCAAAUGUCUAGCGUGAUACACUCAGUAGUACUCUCCAUCAGAACACUAAUUAUAUCAGCAGUAACCUAUAAGAGCAACAGAAGAAAACACCGCGCAUUAUUUUUUCGAGAAAGGAGGAAACUACGGUGUAGGGUGGGUGAUAGGGACUAGGGAAUACACACAGCAUGAUCCAACAUUCUUUGCACAGCAUUGACGGAACCCUUGAUAUCAUUAUUCUGCCAGCACUGGUAAACCAGCUGCAAAUAUCACAUCAUGACUACUAUUGAUCAUACACAACAUAAUCAUGUCUCACGAGUAACGGCAGUAAAUGUUGCACCUAAUUCUAUUUUCCUUCAAUACCUCUAGUUUUGUGAGCCGAGGCUUCAUGCCAUGAAUGAAUUCUUGAUGUUUUUUCAUUAGGUCAGCUAUGACAUCUUCAUCGUUAGCCGAUGCACUCUGUUCGCUGCCAAAUGAAGAUUGUCUCCUCUAACAGAAAUAAAGAAUCAGUGUGCAAGAUGAGUUUGGUGGCAUCAACAAAACGAGCAAAGCAAUCCCAAAUAACAUACUUUAAAAAUGUGGAAGUAAUGUAUUACCAAGCCAUCUAACAUUGAUGUGUAAUGGCUUCUACCGUAACUUGCACAUGAAGGUCCUGCUCCUCCUGACAAAGAGCAUGCUGAUAAUGCUGAAGGGAACCAAAUUAAAAUAAUAUCAGACCAGUGGAGCACUUACGACGCUCAACAAUGCUGCUUUCACUUGAUUCCACCAGUCGGUGCAAUCUGAAAAAUGCUGUUCUGUUGACAUCGACAAACUCUGGAUUCCUUCCAACCACAGAUUUUAUUUCUUCAGAACCAGAAACAUCAUAACGGUCACCAACUUCAUUAGGCACAACGCUUUCAGUACACAUUGUCCCAAAACAGUUAAUGUCCCCAUCACCUGAAGUCUGUCUUAUAAAUUUCCCUUCUGAAGUAAUUGGCUUUGACUGAAAUACACAUUGACGCAUCUCUUUGCCAUUAUCCACAGCUACACGACCUUUUAGUAAAUUUUCAGGCUCGACAACUGGUAUGUCAGUAGAGGCAGCUUCACUGAGAUUAGGACCGGCAUCCACUUUGGAGCUAUGUCUUGGGACAACAGGCACGAAAGAUGACCCUUUACUACUACAUGCAGAUGUAGUGGACCUUGGUCUAUAUGAGGGAGCAGCAGAUGCUUGUGAAUUAUCAGUGAACAUUCUAGCACUUGUGGAGGGAUAUACUUUGGUGCGGACAUUAGAUGUCUUUCUCUUCUGGUCAUCAGUGGAAUUUGGAUUCAGUUUACCCCUAGGAGAAAGAAGAGGCGCAGAAUCGGCUCUUGUGAGCCGAAGAUCAGUUCUUCCAGGUGCUUUUGAUAAUCUAUUUGUCACUGAAGAAGAAGCUGGUAAAUGAAUUUCGUUUGAAGCAGACAUCGAACGUUUAAGCAAAGUAUUGGAUGAAAUUUCAUUGGCUGCUGUUUCAGAAAAAUGCAGAAAAUUUAGGGUGAAUAAUCUUUAGUACAGGAGAACAGGUGAAGCUAGGGUAAAUAAUUGUUAAUUCUUGAAAUGAUAAUUGCUUACAGUACCUGGGAUUCUGGAAACCGAUAACCUUCCCAGAAUUGAUGGUAUGCUACUAUCAGCUUGUAUUGGUCCAUUUCCACUUUCAUUUAAAUGUGCUUCAGCAUUACCAACAGCAUACGGCUCAAUUCGCUGAAAUUUAGGAUUAAUACUAUUAUCAGAACAGCUCAAACGAUAACAUAGUAAAUUAUCUAGAAUCAUACCGUCAAGUCCACAACCCAUAUUCCAACACAACUUUGGUUAUAUGAGCAACCAAGAAGUUUUCCCUCUUGUACAUUUAGAUCUGCUAAUGUCGACCAGCCAACAUCAACCACAUCAUGACAUAUGAUAGGUUCCCAUGAAAGAACCUCCAAGCAAAAGGAUAACAUAAAAGAAAUUUUGUUAUCAUGUCAUUGCUCAAAGCUUGAAAUGGGGACAUUGACUGGUCAAUAGAGUAUUUACCUUUAGGCUUUCAUGCAAUCCACAAAAAAGUGCUUUACCAUCACUAUUGAAUGUCAUAGAACGAACUACACUAGCCUGAAAAUUAAGGAAGCUUGCGAUAAGUAAUUAAUUAUUUCAUUUACAGAUGCAUAACUCUAUCACAGACAAGCAUUCCCAUUCACUUAUAUACAGAAAUUGUAGAUGAUAUGAAUAGCAGAAUGAGUACAUGGUGAAAAACCGUACCGGUUCAUAGUAUUCCCGGCAAUUCUGCAUGUAGCUGAAAAAAUUAGUUGUAUCCAGGAAAAAUCAAGAUAGAUAAUGGAUACUAAAAAUUACUUAUAGCUCAAGAAUAGUAAAUAUUUAAAAAGAACUGGGUAUGCACCAUUAAGUUUACCCACUGAAAGUCUGAAAUUUACAAAGGAGUUCAAAAGUACGUAGCAAAGAACCAUUUUUAAAAACCUUGAACCUAACGGAUGAUUAUACAUAACUACAAAAUUCAAGUUGCCUAAUGCUCAUCAGAUUUGUUCCCUUGACUCCUUGCAAAGGGUCAGAUUUAGGCAGAUUUACUAGGGCCAAACACAAUUCAAACUAAUGAACCUCGUUUGGAUUAAAUUUCAUUGGAGCCAAGCGUGAUCAAAUGCGCCUAGCACUUAACAGUUAACACAAAAGUAUAAAAUUCUAGGACAUGGGUUUGCCAGAUGACUGCAUACUGACACUGUUUAUAUAGCUGAUAGCUUUCUGAAUCAUUGACUAGGAGAUAUGAAUAUAUGAUACCUCUGGUCCAGAAGAACCAAUCAACUCAAAAGUCUCAAGGUCCCAAAACUUAACAGUCUUAUCAGCUGAACCUGCAAAAGUUUGGGAAAGAACAGCAAGGAUGAGUUACAACUUAUAAGUCGGCAAGUCUAGUUGAUGUAUCAAUAAGAAGAACAAGGUAAAUCACUGCAAUGAACAUAUCUUAUAUUCUUGUACAAGUUUUACAAUAUAGGAUCAUCCAUCUAACCUGUAGCCAAUAAGAACUCGUGGGGGUGAAAAUCUAAGCAGUUAACUGGACCUUCAUGAAGUGUAAAGUCAUGCAAGAGUUUUCCAGCUGUCAAAUCCCAGAUCUAGCAAGAUACUUCAAAGACAAUCAGUGACCCAAGAUAUAAGAUAUUUUUUCUGCUCCGAGAGCAUGGGGUUAUUCAUCUUGUUAAAAUUAUCUCUGUUGUAAGCAUAUAAAUUAGCUUAAUAGGUUGAACAAAUCAGCAAAUUCUUCUUCAAGUUGUUCUAUGGUGCUGCUUAAUAGGUUGAGCUUGUAUUAUAUUUAGUGGACAUGUUCAAAAAGCUUACCUUCACAGAAUUAUCUGCCCCACCAGAAACAAUCCAUCGACCAUCAGGAGUGAAUCUAAGCACAUCAAUCCUUCGGGUAUGACCCUGGUAUGUGUGAAUGCAUCUCUUCUUCCGCAUAUCCCAUAUUUUCAUGUUUGUGUCUGAAGACCCAGAGGCAAAAAACUCUCCAAAAGGAUGGAAAUCAAGAGAAACACAAUUCGAUCUGUGCCCAGUGAAAGUUCGAACAACUGUGACAAUAAAAGCAGACAUAGUUGCACGGUACAAUUACAGUUUGUCUUUUCACCUGUAAUGCAGCAAAGUGCUAUCAGGACUGAUUCACACCUUUUGCUUCCUCGAUAUCCCAUAUUUUUAUUGUUCCGCUUGCUGCUCCAGCCCCUAUCAUAACCUCAGAGGAGUCGAAGCUCACUGACUCAACUGGACUUGUAAGGCCUGAUAGGCUCUGCAAAGCAUAGUGAUACUUGUAACUUGUAAGUACAAGAACAACCGCCUAAAUGGCAACCAAAGCAAAAAUGCCAUUACACAUCAAUAAAACUCCCUACAUAAAAUUACCAGGAUGGCGCUCGGUUUCCCUACGGCCCAAAGAUUGAUCUUCUGAUCGUCCCCACCAGUAAUGAGGACUCGUGAUGUCUGCCUCCCAAACUUGGCACAAUUGACAUCCGAACCAUGAGCGACAAACUCCUCUGGCAUUGUCAAGGAAACAUGAUAGACUUUUGUAGAUUGGCAUGAAUUCAACUUUCACGUUUAUUCCAGAAUUCACCUGUUUGGAGUGUUAUUCAGAAUACACAUUUCAACUAGGUGCACAGUCAACUGAAACCCGGAGCUACUCAUGGGCUCAUGGCAUCAAUUGGAAUUGUUCUGCAUUUCAUUAUCACAGCAAACAAGUAACAACACCAUUUGGGUGGGGGGUGGGGGGACACUAAGUUAGCUCUGUAACUGUAUUAGCCAUGUGCUACCCCAGAUGAGCUUCAUAAAAAUUGAAAUCUGAAGAUUCUGUAUUGAGCUCAUGCCUCUUCGGUAUGAUCAUGUUUACUGAAGUGUCUGAAAGCAAAACUAUCGAAAUGGUAGUAAAUUACACAAAACAAAAGUCAAAUUUCCUAACAAGGUACUGUAUUUAAUUUCUUUCACGAAUAUUUGAGCUUAGAAAUAAACUGCAGACCAUAUACACAAUAUCAACUUAAAUCCAACCUGAUUUUAAGAAGGAAACAAAAUUGUUCUGGGUGCAAAAUGUUGUAAUAAUAAUCCCAUUUCUCGCAUAUCCACACCCAGAAGAAAGAUCUGCUGGACGAACAGUCGAAGUACCAACAAAAUUACACAAUAAUCGAGUUACUCAGACUCAGAACGUGUUAAAUUAGUUCCUUGGAGCCAACUCAACCCAACCAUGAACUUGCAAGAACAAGAAGACCAUCAUGUACGCAGGAACAGCCGAAGGGUUCCUGGAAUCGAAUUCACCGUACGCGAGCCCAACCCAACCAAAACCUAACGGCGCCUAUCCAAGCAAUUCGAUUCAAAGCGCCCCAAUUCGGAGAUUCCCAAUCGCAUAAUAAACAAUUCUGGAGCAAGAACAAGGAUACGGAGCUUGUACGCGCGCUUGGUGGCGAUCUGUGGGCGCCGCAGUCAUCAAAAGCUUGGACCUUUAUCCUCGCUGUGGUGGGGGAGUAGAAUAUUUUGAAUUUCCUCUCGGUAUCGUCCCGUUUAUGGCAUCUACCGGCCGGUGCUAAAAUCUGCCUAAUUUUCUGCUACCAAAAAAUAUAUAAAUAUAGAGAGAGAUAUUAGCUGGAGAGUUAAAAGGAGGACGGAUGUCGAGGGAAAGAAGGAAGCUCGGUGGCGUAGCACAGGGGCGAAGUUCUCCACCGAAUAUGUUAGAUGUGCUCUGUGCUAAAAUAGCGACAAGUAUUUAGAAACGGAUGAAGUACUUCAAAAAGUAGAGUACUCCGUGGCAAAAUUAAAGUUUUUAGUUAUUUAAAACAUAUUCACUCUGUUUCAAAAUAGUUGUAUAUUUAGGUUUGUCAUAUGUCAAAAUUCUCCAAAUUCGACUAACUUAAGAUAUAUACUAAGAUUUAGAAACACCAAAUUAGUUUUGUUGUAUUCAUCAUGAAGUAUGUGUUCAUAUUGUAUUCAUCUCAUAUGAUAUAUAUGAAAGAUAUGUACUCCCUCGUAUGAAGUACAUAUGAAUACAUUAAGGACAAACUUAAUGAUACGGGACGGUCCGAUCUUCUCAAAAAGCAACGUUGAUAACUUGUAUGAUUCUGCAAUUCUUCCGGCUAAUCACUCGCUUCCAAUGUAAUGAUCUUGUAACCCAAUGUAAAUUUGUAACACUCCACACUUGCGCAGUAGGCUGCUGACUAUAAGCGGUUUCACAAUUUCCCAUAUCUCGGCAAACGACAUAUGACGCUAAAUUUCAAUAACAGUAAAAACAUCAUAUCGUAACGAAUAUGGUGUUGAGGAUUCACCAUGAAUGCUUUUGCAGUUCGGCAAAAUUUUGAAACAAGCUAAUACUUGUUCUAACCCUUGUACUAUAGGCUACCCCUUUGUAUAUACAGCUGAGGGGCACCAGCAACACACAGCAACACAAGGACUUGAGGGGUAGCCAACAACACAAGAAGGACUCAGACUCAAACCGUUUGACUCAACUUAAUACAACGGAACCGAAAUAAGGUUUGGCUCACAUUCAAACUCGCAGUUCCAAGCGUUCCUUAGACUCGUAGAACUUGUCGUGGGCUAUCCUGCUGCACCUUAUUCUCAUAUUAAACUUGUGGUGCAACCUUGGUAUGUCAUUUUUGUUGUUGGCUUUUCUUGCACACAAGUUGUUCUUCUAUCUUCAACUGUGGUGCGCCUGCCUCUCUCUCCUCAUACACAUAUCUCGGUGAUGGAUGUUAGCACUUUUUCACGCACGAUAUCCCCUUCUCCACACGCGCCAUGCAUGCCUCAGUCUCAUACCUGAUCAUCCAAAUAUGCAAAGACCUUAGCAGUAUAAACUUCUCUUUAACAAAAAUAUCAGAUUCAGUUAGGAGUGAAUUCACCAACUAUUCUAGUAACUUGGCGCAUGCUCUUGUAAGUGGUCCAAUGCACGACAAUAUCAUCAUUAGGAAAAGAUGGUAAAGAGUUAUGAUGCCCUCAGCACUUAAUGUACAUGACGACUUAGACAUUUUUACGUAAUUGUACUAGUUGGUUUCUUGUUUUUAAUGUGUAUUUAAAAAAGGAUGUCAAAAAAUUACUAGUAAUUGUAGUCUACUUUGGUUGGGUUUUCAAUUGUAGAUUUGUAGUAGAAACAAGAAGCUCGUAUUAGGUCUGACUAGCUGCUGCUAAAUUGAUUGGACCCUACAUUGAAAAUGAUGUUGUAAAGAAGUAAGAAAAAUAAAUGUCUCGUGAGCCGUGAUUAAAAGAUGAGGAAAUAGACAAAUCUACAAACGAUCUGUGUUUUAAAUAACAAAAUUCUAUUUUACAUCACAUGAAUUCUGAGGCUACUUUGUUCGUGGGCCGGAGCUCAUUUAUCUCUCAUUUUUGUUUUUUGCCUUACUUUCUUGGCUUAUACCUGGCUAUCGGGCUAGGCCCUUUUGUGCCCGGCCCGGCACACAUUUAAUCGGACCGGGCCGGCCUGAAACCCCGCCUGUGCUGCGCCUGGGCCUCAACCCCAAGCCCGUCGGCUAGGCCCGUUUGUGCUAGGCCCGUUUAGCAAGUUUUUUAUAAAUAUAAUCACUAAAAUAUGUCGUCCUCAGCACUUGAACCCCCGACCUCCCUCUCGUCCUUUACGAUCGCUGCCACUGAACCAACCGAUUGAUCGAGUCAAGCUAUGGGAAAGGAACCAUUUGAUCAUUUUUCAUGGGCUGGCACACAUAAACAGGCCACUGGACUGUGAUUUUUUCACGGGCUUCUUUUAAGCCCACCGGGCUUUCGGUGCUGGCCCGGCCCGUUUGUGCUUCGCGCCGCGCCUGGGCCUUGAGGUGGUCAUUCGGUGCCGGUCCGGCCCGGCCCCUUUAUUGUCGGGCUUCGGGGGCCGUGCCCGGCUAGGCCCGUUUAGAUGGAGCCGGGCCUGUGCCGGGCCGGCCCGGCCCGAGAGCCACCUAUAGACUCUGGCCCAUCUCGCUGCCGAGCUCCCGAGCCCCCUCGCUUCGUCGCUCGUCUUACUCCUCGCGCGACCGCCGCCACCCCUGCCUCCUCCCUCCCUCCCCAUCCCGCUGCCGAGCGCCCCAGCCCCCUAGCUCGUCUUCAUCCUCGCGCGAGCGCCUCCACCACAGGUAUCUAUUCCCCCUUCGAUUCUCUCGCUCCCGACCGUUUCUCCUCCCAUCACCCCACGAACGGAUCCCGCCCUUUAGCUCCCCGUUUUCAUCUCCUUAAUCUUCCCCAAUUCGUAACUGAGGCAAAAAUCAAGGUAGGGCGGCCGACCUACCUUGUCCUACUGGGUCCUCCGCCCGUGGCUGUUGCUGUUUGUGGAUGUAGGUCGAGGCUGCAAACUUUUGCCAGUUGAAUUUUAGGGUUGGAUGCGGUGAUGAGCUGAUAUGAGACGUCAAAGUGUCGGUUUUUUUUCAUGUUGCUAGGGUAUCUUUGCAUGCAGAAACUAAUAUAAUUGUAUCGCAAACUUACUUUUGUUGUAAAUCUAGGAUAUCUUUGCAUGCAGAAAACAACAUAAUCGUAUUGCAUGCUUCUUUUGUAUCAUUCAGAUCUCUAUGGAAUCAUGUUUUGUUAAGUUGUGUUACUUUUUCCAUGCGAGGCAGUUUCAUGUUAAGUCAUUUGUCACCACUAUUUUUUGAGGACGCCAUUUGUCACCACUGUGCCUUACGCAGUUGUCAUAUUUCAGUGCUGUCAUCAAUUUGUUCAAAUUUUGUGUCCUCUUUUGGGCAUGCUGGCAUGAUAUUUGCAUUUCUGGAAAAUUUGGCUUUAUGGUAUGUUUGGUUCAUGCCAAUUCUUGCCAGCAGUUGGCUAGCCAAAAAGUUGCCUAAAGAUUCCUUGGCCCCUUGUUGGCGAAAUUUAGGUACCAACAAAACAUACCCUCAGUAGUCAGUACUAACUAGAACUAAUUCUUACAGUUGUUUUGCACUUUGAAGCGCUUUCGAAAUGGUUGAUGCUCUGUGCUCUGGCUAUGCACUGUUAACUUAACUAUUCCUUCGUCCAACAAAAGAUGUCUCAAGUUUGUCAAAAUUUGGAUGUAUCUAGACAUGACUUAGUUGAUAGAUGCAUUAAAAUUUGGUCAAAGUUGAGACAUCCUUUGUUGGACGGAGGUAGUAUAUUUUUUGUUUACUUAUUAUUAUUUGUGGGUUGGGGGGGGGGGGGGGAGGGGCUGAUUAAGGUCCUGUCGUGACUCAUAAUGUAACCAUAUUACACAACAUCAUUUAUUUCAAUGGAAUACAGGUGUGAGCUCUCUGUGAAGUCAUGAGGACCUUUUUUAAUCUAAUGUGGCUUGUGCUUUCCAAGCGGCCACAGUGACCUGAAAACAAUCACUGGACUGGAAAAUUUGUACCUGUUGCACUUGUAAACAACCUAUACCAGUAUUCUAUAGGCCAAAUUAGCAACAAGAACAUCUAUCAGUAAUUUUUCAGUUCUCUUGUAGGCACAUGCCAGAACGUGUAUCAUCAUCAGAAAGCUGCUAAACUCUUAGCGUGCGAGCGCCCUUUAUUUCCUUGUUGCCUGCUUCCUGUAUCAACAUACCUCUACAGUUUCUUUAUAUUGAUGGACCUUUCUUUGUGUAGACUGAUGGACUAUGAGAAAUCUAGAAGGCAUAAUCCAAGUACUUCCAGAAAGAGGACUCAUUUCAAUUCUGAUGAUGGAAAUAGGAAGCGGUUAAACUCCAGGCAUGAUGAUGGACCUAUGUCCUCUCAGCCAAUCGAAACUGUUUACAGGAUAUUGUGCCCAGGAAAAAAGAUAGGCAGUGUCUUGGGCAGAGGUGGUCAUAUUGUUAAGGCCCUUAGAGAGGAGACUAAAGCAAAGAUAAGAGUCGCUGAUUCUAUUCCUGGUGCAGAAGAGAGAGUAAUUAUUAUAUUUGAUUACCAAGAUCAGUCUGAACAAACUGAUGAAGCUGCUCAAAAUAUUUCUAAUAAUGAUGGUUCAGAGAACAUGAAGCUCCAAUGUUUUGCUCAAGAUGCGCUGUUGAAGAUACAUGAUAAGAUUUCUACUCAUGAAGAUCCCCAUGAUGGAGCUAUCCAUGAAAAGUCUGAAACUGCUGCUGAUGUGACUGCUCGAAUUUUGGUUCCAGGCAAUCAAGUUGGCUGCCUGCUAGGAAAAGGUGGCUCAAUUAUACAACAACUGCGAAAUGAUACGGGCGCAGGGAUCCGUAUCUUACCGUCCCAAGACCUUCCUCAGUGUGCACUUCAGAGCGAUGAAUUGGUGCAGGUAACUGUGUUUUAGUAGCUAGAAAUCCUUCAUUGCCUUACGAUCCAGCUUGUAGUGCCUUUUGCUUGCAUUGAUAUUGUGGAAUCAACAGAUCUCUUUGCCUUAACCCUUGUAUAUAUUGAAUUUGUUUACUUAGAUUUCUAUUCAUUUGUUACUCUAUUGGAAACAAACUGCUCAUUGGUGCGCAUAUAUAGAUCUGUCUUACUAUGUACUCCCUCCGUUCCUAAAUAACCACGACAAGUAUUUAGGAACUGAGGGAGUAGGUUUUUUGCGCGUAUGCCAUGUCAAGUUCUUAAUGAAUUAAAUAUUGGAGUUUUGAUCUGACAUGGUUUGGAGUUUUGAUCUGACAUGGUUUAAUUAUCUCUGUGAAAUUUUGUAUUAAUGGCGUGUAGUUUUAUUUUCCAAUUAUAUUCACAAAGAUAUGUGUCAUUCAUCAUGCUUUUUUUUGUGUGCUUUUGUUAUUUUUGAACAAAAACUUAAUUGCUUAUGUUAUGUCAGAUAUCUGGAGCACCUUCUCUUGUAAGAAAAGCUCUUUACGAAAUAUCCACUCGUCUCCAUCAACAUCCUCGUAAAGAAAAUCCUCCUCUUGAAGAAAUUAUAGAUGCAAGCACACAAAGGAAGCGUGAGUCCCCGCCACCGCUACCCCAUGAAAAUCUGAUGUUGCCAUACCAACAUGUAGAUCGCCUACCACCAAUGCCCUUGCUUGAUCCAUAUAGAAGCAGACCAUCGCAAUAUCCUGUUCCUGAAGCAGAAGAGUUUUCUGUUAGAAUUCUAUGUGCUUCUGAACUUAUUGGCCCUGUUAUUGGGAAAAGUGGAGCAAAUGUUCGGCAGGUAGAGCAGCAGACUGGUGCUCGCAUUCUGGUUCAAGAAUUGGACAAAGAUGCAUCUGGAGAAAGAUUGAUUGUCCUUUCAUCUAAGGAGGUAAGAUACAGAUGGCUAUUCCCAUUGCCAUCCCCUUGUCAUAGCAACCUUCAUUAUGAAUCCUCACAGUUUUAUCUCAUGUGUAUUUUUUAUCCAGAUUCCUGGUGAUCCAGUAUCCCCAGCAAUUGAGGCACUUAUCUUGCUCCAUAGUAAAGUAAGUGCAUCUUCUGAGAAACGCCAUUUGAUUACAAGGCUUGUUGUACCAUCAAGCAAAGUUGGUUGUAUUCUUGGGGAAGGUGGAAAGGUAAUAACUGAAAUGAGAAGGCGUAUUGGGGCUGAAAUCCGAGUUUACUCGAAGGCAGAUAAACCAAAGUACUUAUCUUUUGACGAGGAGCUUGUGCAGGUGAUUUUUAUUCGAUCAUAUCUGCACCAAGUUGUUCAUGUCAUUUCAAUAUCCGCACUAUUUUCUUAUUUUUGUUUCUUAACUCGUUAUUGUGCUUUUACAUUUCUUCCGAGCUUGCAGGUUGCUGGGCCUCCAGAUAUUGCAAGAGACGCCCUCACAGAAAUUGCUUCAAGGCUUAGAACUAGGACCCUCAGAGAUGGAGGUUCUGGCAAUAAUCCCCUGCCUCUUGCCCCUUCUGAUGGUCCUCGUGGUGAUAUAUUUCCUAGCAGAGAAUUCACGCAAAACGGAAGGCCUGCCAAUCCCCCAUAUGGAAGGCCUGCCAAUGAUUCACCAUAUCGAAGACUUGCCAUUGAUCAACCAUAUGGAAGACCUGCCAGUGAUUCACUAUAUGGAAUGCCUGCCAAUGAUCCAAUAUAUGGGAGACCUGCCAAUGAUCCACCAUAUGGGAGACCUGCCAAUGAUCCACCAUAUGGGAGACCUGCCAAUGAUAUACCAUAUGGGAGACCUGCCAAUAAACCCCAUGAUCCUUCCUCUGCUUAUCCUAUAGAUUACUUUUCUAAAAGAAGAGAGUAUCCUAUUGGAAGUCCUUUUGCUAGCAAUGCUCCACUCUCUGCUUCGUAUGACAGAAAUGUAGCAUCUGCUCGCUUGCCUACUAGAGAAAUGCCCUUGUCUGCUAGUCCUGGUGCUGAUUAUAUGACCCAUCGUUCUUAUCGCAACCAUAUGCCUACUGAUAGCUACUCUAGUAGAGGUACACAAGAAUUAGGCCUCUCAAGAGCUGGGAAUAGUAACGUGCAAAAAUUAGGUGUUGCCAGAGCUGGAAAUUCCAAUGCUUAUGAUUAUACCGAGGUACAUUUUAAUGUGUUAGCUUCCCUGCUUUGCAAAUGGCCCUCACCUAAUAUGUUUUCAUUCAAGACCUGAAAAUGUACAGUGCAUGCAAGACUGCCACAUUGUUCCUGUUUUCUUCCAUCAUUGGUUGAGAUUCCUGAAAAGGGGAAAUGCUAUCAGUAUUUUUUUUAUGCUGAUUCACAUCCAUCCUUCGAGCUGUCACUUCAGUUGCACUCUAAAAUGGACAAGAUGGCACAUCACUAUUCAUUUUCUGUCAUUUCCUUGCCAACCUUACCUUUUGUUGUUCAGAUGUUCUCUGCUGCUGUUGAUGUUCAAAGAUUUCUUGAUUGGCGUUUGUCUUCUCUUUAUUUCCUACCUCCCUUGUUUUCUGAUUCGUGUUUAGGUCUCUUACAUGUGAUGCAUGGAUAGGUGCAUCCGAACAUAGAUUUUUGUUUCCUUCAGUGCUGAAUCAGAUGUCACUCUCUUCAGGCUGCCAGACAGAUGCAUGGACGUGAGGAUUAUCAAAGACUGGCUGGUGUCACAGGGUAUGCCUUUUGCAGAUUGUCGUCCUUCCAGAAUACUCUUAAUUGUGCCUGGGAAGUUUUCAGUGAAAGAUAAUCCUUUUGGCAGGUACUCAAGUAGCUCUCUUGAACUGAUGAUCCCAAAUAGUUCUCUGGGAUCUGUUCUUGGAGCUGGUGGUGUGAAUCUAGCAGAGAUCCGCCAGGUACCUGCUAUGCUCUCUACCUGAACUGCGAAUGUGACUAUCAUCCAUUUGAACCGGUCUUCAUUAUUUCCUUUAAUAGUCAAACAGUAUUUCUCAUGUAAGUUCUCAUUGAUCUCAGAUCUCUGGUGCAAGAAUGAAGUUACUUGAAGGCCAUCCUGGCUCUUCGGAGUCCAUUAUGGAGAUCCAGGGUAUGCCGGACCAAGUAAGAGCCGCACAGAGCCUUCUGCAAGGCUUCAUUGGUGCUAACAGCAGCCAGAGCAAGCAGCCAUCCCAGUCUUCUCGCGAUGUCCAUUACCCAAGGUGGAACUAGAUCCUAGUAUGGUGGUAGAGAAAGACAGAACUCAAUAUACAACUCUGGGUCAAUUGCCAUGCUGAUGUUUUUGGAACUCUGAGGAGCACCACAUUUAGCUAGAACGUGCAAAUUGUAACUUAGAUCAUGUUUGUUGACAAGUAAUCUGGGGUUCUGUUUCUAUUGGCAAAGGAUGUAUUGAAUGAAAUAUAUCUGAUCACAACAGUUGCAUGUGCUCUGAAGUUGUACAUGGAACUUGGAUGCUUGAACCUGUCAUUAUAUGUGGUGCUAUUUAGGUCAGACACUAAAUGAUUUUCUCUGUGACUGGCCGAACUCUUGUUAUUUUGCUGACGCUGUUAGAGGCUUUGCAGGCCAAGUUAUAUCAGCACUCUAGAGUUCCAAAUUCUGAUUUCUGAAAAUACUCCACCCAGAAGUGAGCAAGAAAUAUGCUACUCCUACUCAAGUGUCGCUGAUUUAGUGCAAUUUUGUAUUCCUCCGUCCAACAAAAGAUUUAUCAAGUUUAUCAAAAUUUGGAUGUAUCUAGGCAUGACUUAGUGUAUAGAUACAUUCAAAUUUGAUCAAAUUUGAGACAUACUUUGUUGGAUGGAGGGAGUACUAGAGCUGUACUAAAACAAAACAUGGAGUAGUACUGUUAUUGCAGACAGCAUGAAACGUUGCUCCCUGCUUGAAGGCAUUGUCCUUGAAGUAAUGUCACUUAAUUCUCCGGAAUAAAUAUAUUGUUUGUUGGAUGGGCUAUUUUAUGUGAAGACGUUUUAGUAUUGCAUGGUUUUUUACAUGGUUGUGUUGCAUGCAACCGCAGCCUAUCGUCCUGUUUGGCAUUUCUUGCCAAUUUUUCAAUUAUCAUUUUUAUUUAAGGAUUAAAAUUCAUUGGCUAAAAACAUCACGUGAAAUAACAUUAGGCCUCCAUCAGACCUAGCCAGAUUAUGAUCCAUGAUAACCGAGUUUUGGAGUCAAACCACCCCAGUAGGAACUAGGCAGACACUAGUAAAAUUCAAAUCUCUGCAUUUAAAAUUUGACAAAUCAAGUAAUGAAUACCAAGGAAUAAGUAUAGCAUACUGCACACAGACUCGUGCCCCGCGCAAAGCCUUUCAUUAUUAUAUGAGCAAAAGCAGGCUACUGCCUAGUGGCCUAACCAACCUAAGCACAAUUGAUAUUACACCAUCCACCUGGAGUUGUAACCAGUAUGCAAGUAUACACAAGAAUUUAAUCCACGAGCACAUGAUUCAUGGAGAAAAGAAGCGAACAAUAGUUGUUGCGGUAACUAGAUGGGUUUCUCAUUGAGGCCUGUAGUAAUUGCUCUGGUGGUGAGGAGGGUAAGCCCCUGUGGCAUUGUACGGUGGUUGUGGAUAGGGCCCUGGUUGCUGCGGAUGUGGCUGCUGCGCAUUGUAGUACGGCCCCCGCCAUCCAGGGUAUGCAGGUUGGCCAUAGUCGUGGCCGGGAGGUGGCUGAUGCGGCGGUUGCUGGUACUGACCAGGGUGUGGUGCGCCGUAUGGAGGUUGCUGCGAUGGCGCACUGUAUGGAGGUUGUUGUGGUGGCGCGCCAUAGCUGGGGUAUGGCUGUGAGUACGGAGCUCUCAGCUCUGGUUGGGAGUAUCCUGCCCUCGAAUCAUUCACAGGUGCAGCAGCAUAGGGGGACUGAGCACGAGGUGGUGGUGAUGGACUGUGCUGAUCUGGUGUACCAGAAGAGCUCCUCGGCAUAGUUGCCUGGCUGGAAGAUGAGAAGUUGAAACCUGCUAGCUUUCUUUGCACAUCCUCGAUCAUUUCACGGCACUGGAUGUUUCGGGUCAUUAUGAAAUCACCGCACUGCUGUUUUAUGUUGCCAAUUGCUUCCUGCGAGGAAGAAUACUUCAGAAUAUACUUAAUGGUCCUACUAACAGGAGUCACCAGCAUUUAUAUUUCAGCACAGUGGGAACGGAAUGCAAUCGACAUGAAAACAAACCUGUAUUUUCACAUAAAAGUUUAGCCCAUCGUUCAUGUUCUUCUUAAUAUCUCGGUAUUUAGUAACAGCCGCAGAUAUUUGCUGAUAACAUCUCUCCCGGGCAACUGAAAAUUAAGUUUCACAAAGAAGGACCAGAUGGUUCAUUAUUUGGGAAGGUCCGGUUUGUACAUGUCAAAACCAAUAAAAUAAACACAACAUAACUCGCAGACGGAGAUAUCAUUUCCAUGGGAGAUCUGAAGUAAGAAGUUAAGAAUUCUCCAGCAGAACUACAUAACAUACUGACAUAAUGAUUCUGCUAAAAGGUAGAGGAGAAAUAUGCAUAGAACCAACACCUGGCCUGCUAGUUUAAGUAUAUAACCAGUUCAAAGCAUAAGAAAACUUUUUUUAGGAAGCAGAAGAAAACAGUAUCAGUAUGUAUAACUAUAGCAGAUAAAAUUGCUCGAAUUAGCCCAGUAUAUCCUAAGCAAUAAUGGUCGAACCUCGUUGGUACAAGGAAACAAGAAAAAGUUGGUUCACUCAUGGAUCAUUGCUGGGAAGGAUGCAAGCAGGCAGCUCGUAAAGGCCGCAUAUAAGUCUAAAGUCGACCUUAUGCUAAUUUCAAACGAAAAUACACCAAGUUAAUUUUGAGUAAUACUUAUAUGCAGGUUUUUAGGUGUCCCUGCUUGCAUCCCUACUUAUACACCACACUAAGAAGGGGCUGUCAAGGAUGUGAAUUUAAUCGUGGGAUUCAACCAUGUAUAUGAAGCACAGUACGCUUGAUGAACAAAUUUGAAGGGUUACCUUUGUAAUCUUCUAUAUUGAAUACACCAGAAAAUUUCUCAUUUUGUUCCUGUGGAUGGACCCAAAUAUAGUUAAUGUCAGAUAUGGGAAGAAAGAACAUGUAAAUAUAGCAUGCUUGACCAUCUGAAAUAAUUUCAAUAUUGUCACUAGCAUUCAUUAAUGUUAAUUGCAAACCAUAGAUGCUAUUACAUAAAACUUCCAGAACAAAGGAAUCUAAAGAGCAGACCAGACAAUCUCAUUAUCAGGACUAGGUAACUUACCUGUAUUUGUAGCAAUAAGUGCUCCUGCGCCACAAUGUUGUCAGCGAUUUCAGCACAGAUUGGGUCGUACUUUGCAAUCUCCUUCUUAAAAAGAUCAUCAGGUGACCCAACACCAGCCAUCAAUUUAGGGAGUAUAUCAUCCUGUUAGAAAGACAAAUGUAUGUUCCAUCGCACAAAAUGGGUGAAUGUGACAACAUCAAACGGAUCAUGUAUCAAAAUAUAAGAGGCACUUCAGAUGCUAGGUCCUUUAGAUCGCCAAGGCACAAGGAACAGAAAAGACAUGCGCGUAAGAAACAUUACAUACAUAAUUUGACAAUAAAAACUCAUUAGUAUGUCACAUUCAAGGAAAAUAAAUAAAUUCAAAACAUGCAGUAUGAUUCUCUUUUAAUAGUUACAGCAAAAUUGUUCUCGAAAAAAGAUGCAUCUCAUCAUCAAGAUCAAAUAUGCAAUGUUCAUAACAAAUGCAAGACAAAUAGACACAAGCUCGUACUGUACAAAUUCCAAGGCUGCCACAGCAUAUAGUCCAGACUAAAUAUAGUCUAUGUACACAUCAAAAUAGUAAGUCAGAACAGAGAAUGCAUGUACCUUUCUCUUCAUUUCUUUAAGCAUGUCUUCAAGACCUGCCCUUUCUUUUCCCAGAGAUUCCAGUUGUCUCUAUAUCGACACAUUUGAUUAGUGUUUGCUAAGACUAAAACAGGUGAAGCUGCUACAUUGUUUGCAAGCUAAGAAAAAUAAUUGUUUAUUACCAAGCUUUGUUUAAGGGUUCCAACAAUGGCAUCUUCAUUCCCAUCCAAGGACAUAAUAGGCCUUGAAAUACUUGGAAGUGCCGACUCUAUCUGCAACAUAUAAUGGCAGUCUGUAAAUAUCUAGAGAUGAAGACUUGUCUAAUGCUUAAUUGCAAUUCAUUGUGAAGCAUACCAAGAAAGGCAAUCUUCUAAAAUCUAAAGAAUAUUUUAGUUCAAUGUAAUGUGAACACUUACCGGUCUUCUGUCCAGAACAGACAUUAAGGGAUAGUGCUCCUUCACAUCAUGUUCAAUCUUAGAAUCACUAUCACCAGCUGUCUUAAGAUUAGCAGCAAACAGAUUCAGUCGAUCUUGAAUGUUUUUUGUUAGAGUGCUUGAUUGGGGCCUAGUCCAACGACUCCCAAAUUGGGUCCGAAAUUGAGCAUCUUCACUUGCCUCCUUCUGCAGCAUCUCUUCAGUCUGAACAAGUAAUUCCUGACUGACCCUCCUCAAAUCCCUAAGCUGCUGCAUCUCAGCUUCCAAGCCAGCAGGGCCACCACUUACCUGCACAGCCUCAACGUCGUCCCUAAGAUCUGAAGGUAUGCUGAUAUGACCUUCCAAUGAGUGAAUAGAAUCAGGCAAGUCCAUUUCCUUCAGUCUGACUCUAGUGAGCUCACUAGCUUGCUGCAGUUUCUCGGCCUGGGUCCGGAUGAUAUCAUCUACCAUCUCUGUGUACUUUGAAAGUGCCUUCAUGCUGCCAUCAGGCACAAUUGAUGAAAAAAGCCUCUCCUUGCUAGCAUCUAGAGCUUCAGCCAAAGAAGUAGAUUUUACAAGGGAUGCUGCAGGUAGCGCUCCCAAAGAACCAGCAUCUGGAACCCGCAUCAGAUAAACACUAUUGUUCUCCUUAAUAGCCCUCUCCAAGCUGGUUUUCAUGUUAUUCUCCAGCUUAUUAACAGAAUCAAGAAGUGGGGCAGCAACUCCUUUAGCAGCCUUCUUGGCAUCAGUCAGGGCACUCAUUCCGAUCUUUAUGCGUGCAAUUUCCUGACCAAUUUCCUCUUUCUCAUGAAGAUCCAAUGAAGACCUAUAGCAUGCAUCAGCAUAGAAUUGGGCUGCUUUCAGCUGGACAUGAGACACCCAUGUUUUAUCAAAGUGCUGGCUAAGAGGAGGUGCACACAGAGCUGCAUAGGCUUCCUCAUAGAAUAUGCCCACCUGAAAAGACACACGAGCAUGUAAUAACCAAAAUAAGACAGAUAGCACAUUUGACAUCAAAGUUAGACAAAAGCGAAACCAGUAAGGAUGUUGAGUCCACGCAUCUAGCAUGCAAAUUCUACCAAAUUAAUACAAUCAAUGUCAAGAACUAAUCUCAACUGCAACUACAUGAAAUCAAGGAAGACAAACAUACUGAAAGUCACACCAGUCGCUAUGAAUACUCUGAAAUGUGGUUUUAACCCAACAAUUUAAUCACCACAUGGGGUAUCAGGAUAAACAGACUACUCUUAACUUGGUGUUGAGCAAAUCAAAACUCAGUUAUUGAACACUACGCUAUACAAAUCCCCGAAACUAAAACUAUAGCAUGCUAUCUCGAACUCACUUAUGGCUGGUGACUGUGUUGUCAUUGCGAAAACAACUAACUCCCAGAGUCCGAGCUCUCUAUCAUAUGAAUCCAAAUUAGAUCCUUGGACACUAUCACAAGUUCAUAUCAAGUGAGCAAUGGACAAUACCUGGCGCGCCACUUUGGAAGACAGCGAGGGCGGCUUCCCGCCAGCUAUGACCUUCUCGAAGAAGCACUCCUGCGCCUGAGCUAGCAUGAGCUUCUCCAGCAUCCCGGCGCAGUCGGGCGUCACAUCAACGGUGGUGGCCCCUGCGGCAGCGGCCUUGGCGGCGACUCCGCUCUCCCUGAGCCACGCGAAGGCGCCCGCUGCGCUCUGGAAAGCGCCGCAGGCGGUCCUGAUCCCGACGUCGGUGACGCGGUCCGCGGCGAGCGCGAUCUGUGAGUAGACGGCGCCGAGG
rnacentral:lncRNA from 1 species